AUUCGCAUCCAUACGUUAAAAAGCGUUCCACUGUGACUUGGUAUAUUGUCAUUUAUGUGUUUAGGAUUCGAUAGCCCCAAAUGUUCAGUAAAAAAAUUGAAACCAGGUAUUAUUAAUUUAGAAUGUAAAGGAAAUCAAAGUCAAAUAAUCAAAAACAAAUUGAUUGAUAAUUAACAAUAAUAAUAAAAACAAUGGAAUGUUCAAUGAUGGUUACCAAUAGUUAACGUUACUACUACUAUAAAAGAUUGGAAACUUUCAAUUAAUAAUGGAAACAGAUGUCGAUAUUAUGUGACCAAAAGAAGGCAAACUAUGGUAGCAAAUAGUGGCAACCAAUACGUCUCCAAAAGGUUAAAUAAAUUUCAUUUAUAGGAUAUGGAGGAUAGAGGUUAUAUUCGGUACAUUAUUGGUAUUAAGUUCUCUAACUUGGUAAAUUUCAAGUUAUCUACAAUUGCUACAUUCAUUCCAUACCCUUUACCUACACAAGUGAAUGGUAAGAAGGAAUAUAAAAAAAUGAGGACGUUGAUAACAAUAAAAAAUGUUUUGAGGAAGAUGUGAUAAACAGUGAUAAAUCAAGCCCAUAUUAACUAUUUAUUGAACACUUAAUUAAAUAGUGAAACAAACUGUGAGAUUAUUAGUAACGUGAAACUAUUGGAGAAAGAAUACUGAAGGUAAAAUGAAAUCAGGGCAGAUAUGGAAAAACAAAAAGCUUUAGUAGGUUUAACAACUAUGAAAAUGUCACUAACAGGAGAAAAUUAAUUAUAAGUUUAACAAUUAAUUAAUUAAUUAUUGUAAUUGGAAUAAAGAUUCAUUGAAAAAUGUUAAUAUUAUGAUGUACAAGAUGGUGUAAAUUGAAAUAUUGUUCAUAUUAAUAGAUAAAAUAUAUAAGCA